rnacentral:rRNA from 1 species
AGAGUUUGAUCAUGGCCCAGAAUGAACGUUGGCGGCGUGGAUUAGGCAUGCAAGUCGUGCGGAAAGGCUCCUUCGGGAGUACUCGAGCGGCGAAAGGGAGAGUAACGCGUGGAUAUCUACCCUCGGAUCUGGGAUAGCGGCGGGAAACUGCCGGUAAUACCAGAUAAUGUUUCCGGACCAAAGGUGUAAUUCCGUCCGAGGAUGAGUCCGCGUCCUAUUAGCUUGUUGGUGGGGUAAUGGCCUACCAAGGCUGUGAUGGGUACCGGGUGUGAGAGCAUGGCCCGGCUCACUGGGACUGAGACACUGCCCAGACACCUACGGGUGGCUGCAGUCGAGAAUCUUCGGCAAUGGGCGGAGGCCUGACCGAGCGACGCCGCGUGCGGGAUGAAGGCCUUCGGGUUGUAAACCGCUGUCAGAGGGGAGGAAAUGCAUGGGGGUUCUCCCCUGUGUUUGACCUAUCCUCAGAGGAAGUACGGGCUAAGUUCGUGG